AGUGAACGCUGGCGGUAGGCCUAACACAUGCGAGUCGAACGGCAGCACAGUAAGAGCUUGCUCUUACGGGUGGCGAGUGGCGGACGGGUGAGGAAUACAUCGGAAUCUACUUUUUCGUGGGGGAUAACGUAGGGAAACUUACGCUAAUACCGCAUACGACCUACGGGUGAAAGCAGGGGAUCUUCGGACCUUGCGCGAUUGAAUGAGCCGAUGUCGGACUAGCUAGUUGGCGGGGUAAAGGCCCACCAAGGCGACGAUCCGUAGCUGGUCUGAGAGGAUGAUCAGCCACACUGGAACUGAGACACGGUCCAGACUCCUACGGGAGGCAGCAGUGGGGAAUAUUGGACAAUGGGCGCAAGCCUGAUCCAGCCAUACCGCGUGGGUGAAGAAGGCCUUCGGGUUGUAAAGCCCUUUUGUUGGGAAAGAAAAGCAGCAGGUUAAUACCCCGCUGUUCUGACGGUACCCAAAGAAUAAGCACCGGCUAACUUCGUG
rnacentral:rRNA from 1 species